UACGUAGGGUGCAAGCGUUGUCCGGAAUUAUUGGGCGUAAAGAGCUCGUAGGCGGUCUGUCGCGUCGGCUGUGAAAUCCCGGAGCUCAACUCCGGGUCUGCAGUCGAUACGGGCAAACUGGAGUACUGCAGGGGAGACUGGAAUUCCUGGUGUAGCGGUGAAAUGCGCAGAUAUCAGGAGGAACACCGGUGGCGAAGGCGGCCUCUG
rnacentral:rRNA from 1 species